rnacentral:tRNA from 1 species
GCCGUCCGCGCCCGACAGGACGGGCACCCGGCUUUUACCCGGGAGUGAAGGGGUUCGAGUCCUCUGGGCGGCAC